rnacentral:lncRNA from 1 species
GAGAAAGCUGAGACCCCAGGGCCGGUGAGCACAGGACCACCUGCGAGCGCUGAGGCCUGAGGUUGCGUAAACGCAACCCACGUGGGGCCCGCCCGUGGUGUGUGCUCGUCAGACCCGGCACAGCCUCGUGACGUCCUCUUUCUCCUUCGAGGAAUCUCUUCCUCUGAAAUCUGCCUUGUCGGGUGUUAACACGGCUGCGCAGUCUUGCUCUUAGCAGUAGCAAGGAAUCCGACUCCAGUCGAAGAUGCAGCAGAAGUUGGACGCGUGAUGAAGACAGUGGGCUGAACGGGAAGACGUCCAGGCCGGAGCAGGAGCUGGCGGGCUCGGGCUGGGCGUGCAAACAGCUUCGCAGCCACGGGAAAUGCCUCGAAGGCCGGGGUGCCUCCGAAUUGAGCCGCUUCCCAAAAUAAUCCAGGGGGCAGCUGUCUCGGCUUUGGAGACUGAGUCUGGCUGCCUGAGCGGCAGGAAGCCCCAGGCCCCACACCAGCCCCACUCUGGGAACAGAUGGCACGAGGAGUAUUUUUUUCUUUUCCUGAAGUCAGCUGGAGCGCGAACAGCUUGUCUGGAGAAGUGCCCCUCCCCCUCCCUUUUGGCAGCAGAUCAAAGCCGCCGCCGCCCCUCCCCCAGCCCCUGGCCUCCUUCCCUUUAGGACCCAGGCAGCCGAGGUGGAGGGGCCUCACAGGCCUUUCUCACUGUCGGGUUUAACCCAGGGAGCAGCAGGGGCCCCUCGGUCCCUGGGAGCCAGGGCUGAGCUAGGGCAGCAGAUGCGGGAGGCAUGGCUGGUUGGAAAAUGGACAAUGGGGAUGUCGCAGAAAUGAUUCUUCUUGGAAGAGCGGGCCAGCUGACCUGGGUUGGCCAACAGCUGCAUGCAUUCAUUCAUUUAUCUGCCAGCGUUCCAGUCGAUUGGUAUGCUUACUGGCUGCAGACGGACUCAGCAGCGGGCAGGUGGGUUUUCACGUCUGCACAAGUCGUCGUGCACGAGCCGUUCCCUGCAGACCUUCCCUGAGCAGUUGCCGUGUGCAGGCCCCAGCUUGGAGCUCAGGGCGUAGAGAGCGCUCAGACGCAGGCGCUGUUCGGGCGGAGCUCAGAGCCCGCAGGGCAGGAGGCGGGGCAGGGCGGUGGGCAGAUGCAACGCUUGAGUCGGACUCGGGCGCGAGUCCUGGGUGCAUCCUCCGACUGCCCGGUGACGCUGGUGAGCCACUUACCUCCUGAGCGUCAGUUUCCUUCUCUGUCAAAUGCAAGCAAUAAGGAAGCUAUUUUUUGUAGGGUUAUUAUGAAUGUUAACCAAGAGAAUCCAUCUAAAGAGCUUGAACUAUUGCCCGGCACAUAGUGUUCCAUAAUGUCGGACGACACACCAUCCCCAUCAUCACAAUCACUCUCACCAUCAUCAACACCACCAUCACCAUCGCCAACACCACCAACACCACCAUCGCCAUCACCACCAUCACCAUCACCACCAUCACCAUCACCAUCACC